rnacentral:rRNA from 1 species
CCUACGGGCGGCUGCAGUGGGGAAUAUUGGACAAUGGGCGCAAGCCUGAUCCAGCCAUGCCGCGUGAGUGAUGAAGGCCUUAGGGUUGUAAAGCUCUUUUACCUGGGAAGAUAAUGACUGUACCAGGAGAAUAAGCCCCGGCUAACUUCGUGCCAGCAGCCGCGGUAAUACGAAGGGGGCUAGCGUUGUUCGGAAUCACUGGGCGUAAAGCGCACGUAGGCGGAUUUUUAAGUCAGGGGUGAAAUCCCGGGGCUCAACCUCGGAACUGCCUUUGAUACUGGAGAUCUUGAGUCCGGGAGAGGUGAGUGGAACUGCGAGUGUAGAGGUGAAAUUCGUAGAUAUUCGCAAGAACACCAGUGGCGAAGGCGGCUCACUGGCCCGGUACUGACGCUGAGGUGCGAAAGCGUGGGGAGCAAACAGGAUUAGAUACCCGAGUAGUC